rnacentral:rRNA from 1 species
AACGAACGCUGGCGGCGUGCUUAACACAUGCAAGUCGAACGCGAAAGUUUUCUUCGGAAAACGAGUAGAGUGGCGCACGGGUGAGUAACGCGUAAGUUAUCUACCCUCCCAUCUGGAAUAACUCACCGAAAGGUGUGCUAAUACCGGAUACGUUGGAAACAAGAAAGGUGGCCUCUAUUUAUAAGCUACCGUGGGGGGAUGAGCUUGCGUACCAUUAGCUAGUUGGUAGGGUAAUGGCCUACCAAGGCAACGAUGGUUAGCGGGUCUGAGAGGAUGAUCCGCCACACUGGAACUGGAACACGGACCAGACUCCUACGGGAGGCAGCAGUGAGGAAUAUUGCGCAAUGGGGGAAACCCUGACGCAGCGACGCCGCGUGGAUGAUGAAGGCCCUUGGGUCGUAAAAUCCUGUCAGUUGGGA